AGAGUUUGAUCCUGGCUCAGAACGAACGCUGGCGGCGUGCCUAACACAUGCAAGUCGAGCGCGAAAGUCCCUUCGGGGGCGAGUAGAGCGGCGGACGGGUGAGUAAUACAUAGGUAAUCUACCUUCGAGCUUGGGAUAACCCCGCGAAAGUGGGGCUAAUACCGGAUAAGACCACGCAACCAUGUUGCGGGGUAAAAGGUGGCUUAUUUUUUAAAUGAGCUGUCACUUGAGGAUGAGCCUAUGGCCUAUCAGCUUGUUGGCGGGGUAAGAGCCCACCAAGGCUAUGACGGGUAGCUGGUCUGAGAGGACGACCAGCCACACUGGGACUGAGACACGGCCCAGACUCCUACGGGGGGCAGCAGUGGGGAAUAUUGGGCAAUGGGCGAAAGCCUGACCCAGCGACGCCGCGUGGGCGAUGAAGGCCUUCGGGUUGUAAAGCCCUGUCAUGCGGAAAGAACGACCCUGUGACGCAUACUUACAGGGAGUGACGGUACCGCAGGAGGAAGCACCGGCUAACUCCGUGCCAGCAGCCGCGGUAAUACGGAGGGUGCAAGCGUUGUUCGGAAUUAUUGGGCGUAAAGGGCGCGUAGGCGGUAAUGUAAGUCAGAUGUGAAAUACUCCGGCUCAACCAGAGAAUUGCAUCUGAAACUGCAUAACUAGAGUACAGAAGAGGGAAACGGAAUUCCCGGUGUAGAGGUGAAAUUCGUAGAUAUCGGGAGGAACACCAGUGGCGAAGGCGGUUUCCUGGUCUGAUACUGACGCUGAGGCGCGAAAGCGUGGGGAGCAAACAGGAUUAGAUACCCUGGUAGUCCACGCUGUAAACGGUGAACAGUAGGUGUGGGAGGUGUAAUACCUUCCGUGCCGUAGCUAACGCGUUAAGGUUCCGCC
rnacentral:rRNA from 1 species